rnacentral:rRNA from 1 species
ACGGAAGGCAGCAGUGGGGAAUAUUGGGCAAUGGGCGAAAGCCUGACCCAGCAACGCCGCGUGAAGGAAGAAGGCCUUCGGGUUGUAAACUUCUUUUACCAGGGACGAAGGACGUGACGGUACCUGGAGAAAAAGCCACGGCUAACUACGUGCCAGCAGCCGCGGUAAUACGUAGGUGGCAAGUGUUGUCCGGAUUUACUGGGUGUAAAGGGCGUGUAGGCGGAACUGUAAGUCAGAUGUGAAAUCCCGGGGCUCAACCCCGGAACUGCAUUUGAAACUGCAGUCCUUGAGUGUCGGAGAGGCAAGCGGAAUUCCUAGUGUAGCGGUGAAAUGCGUAGAUAUUAGGAGGAACACCAGUGGCGAAGGCGGCUUGCUGGACGACAACUGACGCUGAGGCGCGAAAGCGUGGGGAGCAAACAGGAUUAGAUACCCUGGUA